rnacentral:rRNA from 1 species
CCUACGGGGGGCAGCAGUGGGGAAUCUUGCGCAAUGGGAGAAAUCCUGACGCAGCAACGCCGCGUGGGUGAUGAAGGUCUUCGGAUCGUAAAGCCCUGUCGGAGGGGAAGCGGUACCCUCAAAGGAAGCACCGGCUAACUCUGUGCCAGCAGCCGCGGUAAUACAGAGGGUGCAAGCGUUGUUCGGAAUUAUUGGGCGUAAAGGGAGUGUAGGCGGCUUGUUAAGUCUUCUGUGAAAUCUACGGGCUUCACCUGUAAAGUGCAGAGGAAACUGGCGAGCUUGAGUGUCGGAGAGGAUAGGGGAAUACCCGGUGUAGAGGUGAAAUUCGUAGAGAUCGGGUGGAACACCAGUGGCGAAGGCGCCUGUCUGGCUGACACUGACGCUGAGACUCGAAAGCAUGGGGAGCAAACAGGAUUAGAUACCCUUGUAGUC